rnacentral:lncRNA from 1 species
AAGCAUGAUGGGAGAAACAGCACUCUGGGGUUCAGCGCUUCCGUAUGUUCCUAAGCUCACUGAUUCAGGUCCAUUAAGUGCUCACAGAGAAAUAAGCUACUAGACCCUGAGAAUACACAAACAGCUCUACAGAGCUGGCCCACAGUGAAGAGCAUCCUACAUCCAGCAAGUGCUGAGGCCUCUUUCCAGCACCGGUGUGAAGAUGAACCACGAUGGAGGCGGGUCUCCGGCCCUCAGCCAGGAUCUCAAACAACUACAGCUCCGGCUGAGGAUGCUCAGAACUGGGGGUGUCCUGAAAGCCCAGAGUCAGAAUCCUCCUGCCAAGCCCCUCCCACAUUCCCAACUCAGAGAAGCCCUCACAUUAUAAAUGGCUGUCGAUUUCUCCUGCUGAGAUUGGAGAUAAUUUUACUCAGACAGAUAAAAUCCACAUUGCCAUCAUCAUAAAAUGUUUGUUCAUAUUUUUUUUGCCCAUUUACACAUAUAUUUAUAUAGUAGUCAUAAUUUGUAGCUCAUGUAUUUUUAAAUCGAGAUAGAUUUAUGUGUGUGUGUCUCUGGGUAUAAUCCUUAGUAUAUUACAAUAUUUUUUCUCACAUGAAUAUCACCCCAGGCACAAGUGAAGUUGUUGUUGCCAGUGUUCUGGUAACUGGGAGAAGGCAGCAAGCUACAGGAGAGAAGACAGCAAUGUAAUUCUUCUAAUUAGCAGAGACUCAAAGGCUACUUCAAAUCCACUUUAAUCCUUUCCUUUCCUUUUUCAGUUACAAUGUUUAAUGAGAAAAUAGAAACGGUGGCUUAUACUUUUAUUUUUGUUUACAGUGCUCAGGCGAAAGCUAAGUGUGCAAUUAAUUCUUCUAAAUACAUUCAAGAAAAAAAAAACCAAAGUAUUAAUCAUAAUUGCUUCCCUGAGAUGAAAAGUAUUUCUUCCUUUUGUAUCAACUUGUGUUUUGUAUCAAAUGUGUUUUAGGUUUUUCUUUCACUUGCUCAUUCUUUCUUUCUGUGGUGAAAUGUAUCGAAUGCCAUUUUUACUGUUACUGCAAUUCCACACUUUCAUUAGUUUUAAAUGGCCCUCUCUUCCCUGGGGUUUUUAUUCUCCCUUCCAGACUAACACUGGCUAGUCCCUUGUCUACAGCCUGAGGUCAUUAGUAAAGUAACUGCUGCAUAUGCAUAGUAACAUUGU